UACGUAGGGUGCGAGCGUUGUCCGGAAUUAUUGGGCGUAAAGAGCUCGUAGGCGGUUUGUCGCGUCUGCCGUGAAAGUCCGGGGCUCAACUCCGGAUCUGCGGUGGGUACGGGCAGACUAGAGUGAUGUAGGGGAGACUGGAAUUCCUGGUGUAGCGGUGAAAUGCGCAGAUAUCAGGAGGAACACCGAUGGCGAAGGCAGGUCUCUGGGCAUUAACUGACGCUGAGGAGCGA
rnacentral:rRNA from 1 species